rnacentral:rRNA from 1 species
CCUACGGGGUGCUGCAGUGAGGGAUAUUGGUCAAUGGGGGAAACCCUGAACCAGCAACGCCGCGUGAGGGAAGACGGUUUUCGGAUUGUAAACCUCUGUCCUCUGUGAAGAUAAUGACGGUAGCAGAGGAGGAAGCUCCGGCUAACUACGUGCCAGCAGCCGCGGUAAUACGUAGGGAGCAAGCGUUGUCCGGAUUUACUGGGUGUAAAGGGUGCGUAGGCGGCUUUGCAAGUCAGCGGUCAAAUUGCGGGGCUCAACCCCGUACUGCCGUUGAAACUGCAUCCCUUGAGUGCGCGAGAAGUAUGCGGAAUGCGUGGUGUAGCGGUGAAAUGCAUAGAUAUCACGCAGAACUCCGAUUGCGAAGGCAGCAUACCGGCGCGCAACUGACGCUCAUGCACGAAAGCGUGGGUAUCGAACAGGAUUAGAUACCCCUGUAGUC